rnacentral:misc_RNA from 1 species
AAUAUUGUCCCUCUUGGACAAUAAACCAGAAAGUUAAUUAGAGUUCUUCUAAACUGGUUUGUCCAUCCAUCAACCAUGAUUGUGCCACCAGUUUCCUUCCAAGUGGUUCGAUAACUAUCAACAAAUUUUUUAACUUCUUCAACAUUUUUUGACAAUAAAUGACUACGAAGAUUAUAAAAAUUUAUACCUUUGUAACUAGCACCCAUACUA